GCAGAGUUAGGACAGGGAAAGAGGGGAAAGUGGCUUAUUAACAUCCCCGACCACAACCAAGCCUCUUCAAUUAGGAGAAACAGCUGCAGAAUCUCGGCUCCCCCAACCAAGAGUUUAUUCCAGAGAACCCGCAGUAAGUUGUGGACUCUGAUCCCAACCUAAGCAAUCUGCAUCAAGAACUCUCUCUCUCCUGAGAUGUCUACAUUUCACCCCUAAAGUUCCCAAAAGGCAUGUGAAGAGCUGUCCUAAAGCCCCUGCCACCACCUGUCAAGGAAGCCACAGGCAUGAGAACAAAAACAUGGGAUGUGGCAAGGCAGAAGGAUGGAAAGACCCUGGAGCCUAAAGUCCCUGCUGAGCCACCACACCAAGCCUGGACCAUUUGUCCCCAGACUUCUUGUUAAGUAGAUGAUAAAUGUUCCUCUGGUUUAAGCCACUGUUUGUUGGGUUGUUUUAUCUGGCAGCCAAACAUCUACUUGGUACAGCUCCCCCAUAAUGAUUUUGGUCAAUAAUCAUACUCUCAUUACCAGUGUCACUCCCUAACUGGCCCAAGUCUGAAACUUGGAUGAAACCCCUAGUUCCCCUUAUCUAAAUCUCAGGCCCUCAUGGGGAAAAAUGUAGCACUAUCAACCUCGCCAACCCUGUCACCUGGAAGUCUGGUGUGGGUGCCAAAAGCACAAGAUAAAUACAAAGACACAGAAAUCAGUGGGAGAAGGGGAAAGGACAAAACAGGAGACUUUUUUUUUUUUUUUUGAAACUUGCAGCUGACCCUUUAGG